rnacentral:lncRNA from 1 species
UCUCGAUCUCCUGACCUCGUGAUCCACCUACCUUGGCCUCCCAAAGUGCUGGGAUUACAGGCGUGAGCCACUGCGCCCGGCCAGAGGCAGGUCUUAAAACUAGCAACUGGGUGAGAAAUCAGUGGGGAGGGUAGGCUUUGACAAAGUAAGAGAUAAAGAGUCUGCUUUCAUAUUUUAGAAAAACCCAGGGAAUGCUGAAAAGCCCAUAGGAAAGAAGAAAUAUGCUGUCAAGAUGUUAGUGAGCCAAGGCCCAGGAGUUUGCUCUCAAAAACAGAUGAGAAACUGGACUUAAAAUCUGACUGGGAGAAAGUACUUUAGGCAAAACAAACUACUCAUAUACAAAAGGAUGGGCUCUGAAGCAGAGAGUGAAGGCAAUAGCUUCAAGAUCGGUGGAUUUAAAACCUAGAAGUAUCUUCUCUAAAAGAUAAAAGAUUAAGAAAGGCUUUAAGAUAGCUAGAGCAGGAAUAAAGUAGUCAAGUGAAUGUGAUACCACAAGGUUCCAGAAGUUUCCAUACUAAUAGAAACAGAUACUAAGUGAAGUUUGAGGGGCCCUCACAAUCUGGAUAGAAAACUCUUCAAGUAGAUCUCAACCUUCAGGCUGGAAUAUCUUUGCUUAGCUAUCCCAGCCAGAGGACCAUAGUGGUUGAUUUCAAAAGGAGUUGCAAUUAUUCUAUCUUGUAAAUUCUCUCAUUGUUAAGUUUUGUCACAGUUUGUUGUUGCUACUUUCUUUCAGUUACCUAGAAAAUGUUUUCUCUGAAAACCUCUAUCCAUGCCUCAACAGAUCGGAGAUAAAAAAGGAAUCAUCUUACAAGAUUAUCAAGAAAGAUAAUGGGCUAGGUGUAUCCUUAAAAGUCCCCUCCCUUCAACAAUUAUAUACAGUACACUAUUUGUUGGAAGCUCAGGAGAAAAAGGGCAUUUAAGAGCAUGAGAUUUGGUGGCAGACUGACCUAAUAGUAGAUGGUACCAGUGAGAUCUUGAGCAACGUAAAUGUUUCAACUGAAAAACGAAAACCUUUUUUUGGAAAGAAUCGAAACUAAAAACCCAACUAUUUAAAAAAUGGAAACUUUUGGCCGGGAACGGAGGCUCACACCUAUAAUCUCAGCACUUUGGGAGGCCGAAUGGGCGGAUCACAAGGUCAAGAGAUUGAGACCAUCCUGGCCAACGUGGUGAAACUCCGUCUCUACUAAAAAUACAAAAGUUAGCUGGGCAUGGUGGCACAUGCCUGUAGUCCCAGCUACUCGGGAGGCUGAGGCAGAAGAAUCGCUGGAACCCAGGAGGCGGAGGUUGCAGUGAGCCGAGACAGCACCACUGCACUCCAGACUGGCGACAGAGUGAGACUCCAUCUAAAAAAAAAAAAAAGGAACCUUUUGCCUUACUUCGUUUGCUAGCUACAUUCAAGUCUGCAAUUAAGCUCGGUGUUUUGCCUUUCUCAAACUGUGCACAGGUCCUCUUGUUUGUUCCCCUUCUCUCUGUUGCCUAGGAAUACAGCCAAAAACUUGAGUAAUAGAUGAUAGAUGGGUCUGUCACUAAGCACAUCCUAGUGACAUAGAUAAGAAGCAAAUGCUACAAAAUUAUAGGUGCAAACUACAAGUUGUGUUUUAAUUGGUUUUAACAAGUACUUAUAAGCAGAAGAACUGUGAAAAAUCUAACAUUUUGUCCUACUUGCAAGCCUGCCAGUCUUUUGAGUGCUGGGCAAAGACACAAUAGUGCUGGGUCAGAGACAAUUAACUUUACUACUCACAUUAAUAGCAUUAGCAAGAGUAUCAUGAUUUUCUUGCACUGAUUCCUCAAGCCGCAAUUCCCACAGAAAAGCUCAGGUGACACCUACAUGCUCAGUGGGUUGCAUUAGAAAAGAGGAACGCAGAGCUCAGGAAACAUGGAUAUUUUAUAAUGGCCAGUAAAGAUGUCCCUUUGCUUUAGAAAGAGGCACUACCUCUAUCCAAGGCUGCAAGCACACCUGCCUUUUGUUUUAGAAGGAGAAAUGAUUUCUAUCUUCCAAGGCUGUUCACUAUAUGAAAAGACAGUCCCAAACAAAAGGCAGUUACUGACUUGCUUGAAAAAUGUGCAGAAAUGAUACGCUGCUUGAAUGUGGACAGCUGACACAGGGACAAGGAGUAAAAAUGAUUAGGUUUUGAGCUUGACCAACUAGGAAGAUAAUUAUUAGCAGUAGAGAAAAAAAGAACAAAGUAGAUUUUAGGGCAGAUAAGCCAUUUUUUAGGUAGGUUGAGUCUGAGAUGCCUCCAUAAAUAUAAGUUGAAAAUAUGAGAUUGGAGUUGAGACUUCAGAAAUACAUAUUUUGAGUAGUUACACUACAGAGGUAAGUCAUCAGAGUUCAUAAAAUUAAAGUGAGAAAAAGAGGCAAGUGAAGAAAAACAAGAUGGCAUUGCAUGAAGAACUUUCUUAGGAAGGAAGGCAGCAAAGAGGUAAAAUUGGAGGUGUAGUCAGAGAUGGAAGAUGAAAAAGGAAAAUAACAAUAUUUCAGAAAUGAAAUGAAAAAGGUCUUUUACUAAGUAAUUGGUACUACUACUUGUCAGUUUCAAGUGCUGUAAAAAAAAUGGGAAGAACCACACAUGUGCACUUUCAGUACUAUGUAUUUUAUGCUUCAGGGAUGCAUACCUGUUUAACAAAAGUAUGUUUUUUCUCAAAGUGUGUUGAAUAGUCCAGAAAAAGAUGGAGGUAGAAGUCAGACUUCAGGAGAUAAAGGAACCAGAAAGAUCAUUGAAGGCUGUGAUGGUAGAAAACAUUUUGACAAAGAGUUGUGCAAUGAGAAAGCUAGGGGUGGGACAAUUAAUUUUGAGGGUAACAAUUGGGGAUUUGAGUAGAUUUUUUGCUUCUGUUCUUUAAUUGUUUUGUCUUCUUUUUAAAGAAACCAAGAGACUGUUAAUGUAGUAGGAGCAGAGUUUCACAAUACAGAGCAGAGAGGGUGUUGGUUGAUAAAGAAUUGUCUCAAAUGAGAGGAAAAGAAUGGAGCCAAUAACAGAGAUGAUGUUUAAUUUGGGAAAGGUGGGACAUGUUAACAUGAGUCCAGAGAACUAAAAUGAGCUUAUGGCAUGCAGAUGCUGAAGAUGAAGAAAGGAAAGGAAGGAAAAGGAGGAAUUUAUAUUUAUUUAUUGAAUAAUCUUGUAAAACUGUUAAUCACCCCUUUUUACUGACGAUAAGACAUAAAUGUCAGAGGUGUUUUGCCUAAAGUAAAAAAUUCGAUAGUCAAGCUGGGUUUAAAACCAUAUCAGUCUUACGUCAAAGCAUGUUUUAAUUGCUGUUGUGUGGUUGUGAUUUUAAGGGAAGAAGAAGAGUUUUAUAAUGGGUUCUCUGAAAAAUAAAAUAUCAAUUAGAAAGAAACAAAACAACUGCUGAGAAGCAGUGAAUCCAAGCAGAAUCUGAGUAUCAUCACUUUUUAGUUAAACUAACCAGUCCAAUAUCCUGAUUUUUCUUUAACAGGCAAAGAAUUUUUGAGUCUUUCCCAUAGACUGAGUUCUUGUGAACUAUUUUACAGCAAUAAUGGCAUCCAAUCCUAUAGAUAACAAUAACAAAGCUGCAGACCAUUUUGUUGCCAGGUUUCUCCUCCAGGGUGGCUUUCCAGCUAGUUUGUAAACAAAUAACUCAGGUGGCCCUGUCAUGUUACAUUAACUAAAAACCAAGUCUAAAGCACACAUAUAAUAACAUAUGUGUGUGCAAACUGGCUUGCUUUCAAAUUCCUAAAUCAUACAAUUAAAUUUUAAAAAUAACUGUAUUUGGAAACAAGAAAAAAGUCACUUUGACACCCAACUGAUGUAUAUAAAGGAGACUGUGCAUAUGGGUUUUAAAAUGAGAUGAAAAUUGAAAUUUGAUCUUUGAGAUUAAAAACAAUGUUAUGUAAAUCUAUUUUUAUUUAAUUUUUCUGAAAAAUAUUGUAUUUGCUUUAUACCCUCUUGCUAUACAAACUUAUAUUGUUUUGCUUACCCUCUUUUUUUAUUCCUCCUACUUUUUCUUAAUUUUGAUAUCUCUGAAUUUAAAGUCUAGAGAAUGAUUCAUCUUCACUAGUUCUAUCUUUUCCAGUGCUAGUAUUUUUGUUUUUGAGCUGUGGUUUCCCUAUCCCAUUUUUGAGAUCUCAAACUAUAAUUUGGUGUCGAGUACCCAGGUAUCUUAUCUUUAAAGUGAAGACGUAGGCAGCACAAAGGUGCUUUUAUUAGAACGUCCACUAGAUCAGAAUGACCAGUGCACAAAAUUUAUUUUCCUAGCAGACUCACCAAAUUUAACCUGGAAGAGAAUGUCUGACUCUGUUGAAUUUUCUUAGGCAAAUACAAUAUUUGAAAGUCACUGAAUGUUUCAAACAAAAUAUAACAACAUUCAGAUAACAGAACUGUGUUAUUGUUCUCAUGUGUUUAUGCCCAGAAAAUAAGCAGACUGGAGCUUCUCUAAGAUUAAAAGUCAAAACAGUAUUACAAUUCCAGCCCAGAUUUGACUAUCUAAUCAUUUAAACCUUAGUAUCAUCAUCAUCACCACCGUCACUGCAUACUCAUUAAGUUAAAAAAAAUUCCUUUAAAAUAAAUGGAAAAGAAAAUAUCUGUGUAAAUAGAUUAAAGCGAUUCCUGCUCACCACUCCCUUUCUCCCUGGGGCAGGAGACUUGAGCACAUCAAAGGAACUCAUAGCGUUCUUGGAGUAAGUGUGAAAGCCACCGUGAUGAACUAAAUGAAUGCUUACAUCUAAAGAAAGAUGUAAACAUAUUACAUUAAAAGGUGGCAUGACAUAAUGGUAUAUCACUGAUUAAGAAAUGUGAGGCGACUUUCAUGUGCCACUGAUAAAUCAUUAUAAUUUGACAUAGUAGAUAAUGCCCCUAUAUUUCAUCUGCAUACCUGGAAAAUGAGGACUUUCAAAACAUAUUCCUGCCAGUUACAGUCAGGUAUUGCAAAACAAGCAUUUAGUGAGCAUCUAAACUGAAGCUUAGAACUUCAGUUUUGUGGCGGGGCGCGGUGGCUCACGCCUGUAAUCCCAGCACCUUGGGAGGCCAAGACAGGCGGAUCACUUGAGGUCAGGAGUUUGGGACCAGCCUGGCCCACAUGGUGAAACCCCAUCUCUACUAAAAAUACAAAAAUUAGCCAGGCAUGGUUGCACGCACCUGUAGUCCCAGUUACUCAGGUGGCUGAGGCAGAAGAAUCGCUUGAACCUGGGUGGUGGAGAUUGCAGUGAGCUGAGAUCCUGCCACUGCACUCCAGCCUGGGCAAGAGAGUGAGACUCCAUCUCAAAAAAAUAAAGAACUCCAAUUUUAUUUUCUUCAUGGCAUAGCAUAAUAGAUGAGUUAACAAAUUAAUGAAACAGAUUGACAUGUGUUAAUUGCAAUCAUAUACAGAACAGAAAUCAUUUCCAUAAAAUAUUUAACCUGCCUGUUACUUCCCCUAAAUCUCUCUGUAGCUGAUGCCCCAAUUUCACUAUUAGCUCUUCAGACUUGGAUGUUAAGCACUGUGCCUUCCCCUGGACCUCUCUUUAAAUGUCACAGCUAUUUCUGGCAGGUAAGACUAUUGCUUUGGUUAGUGUGAACACACACCACUGUGGAUCACAAGGCACCUGAGAGAAAAGGCUGCCGAAAGCAGGAAAAUAACUCAGAAAAAAGAAAAAAAAACACAUGGUGCUGAAAAAUACAACAGAUAUGCAUUUGUAUACUUAUGAUCUAAUUUAUGUCAGUCAUUAAAAGAAAAUAAGGUGUUUAGAAAAUACAGUGCUGUCUAUGGUUAUAUUUAAUAUUGUGACCACUUAAUACAAAGCAAAGCAUUCUUGCUUGCUCUCAUGGAGAGUGCAAUUUAGAAUUGAGAGCUCAAUUUCUAAGGAGGGUUUAUGUACUCUAUCUUGAGGCACACCAAGGAGAUUGAGUUUACCAGUUUAGAAAGCACUGCCAUAAUUCAAGUCAGGGAGAGGGCUGAUGGAAGAUUUUUAAAAGAUUUUAAAAGAUCAUGAGGGCAAGCUGGCUUUUAACAAAACAAAAUAUUUCCAUGUGGCUUCUGGCUGACUGAAUUAAUAAGGCCCAGAGACUGAUCUGAAGGCAAAAGCCUUUAUUUUUUAUUGCAAUGGAGAAAAACUGAACAUUAUUUGACUAUCAGUUGUGAAGUUUAGUAAAAAGAUUUUCACUAAUGGGUGGUUUUAAUAUUUAUGAAUGUGAUGGUUCAGCAAAUUUUCUCCAAUGUUUUGCAAGACCACUAAUUAAUAAUCAUCUUUACAAAUGGAACAUGUAAUUGUCUGCUACUAUUUUUUCUUUGCCAAUGCUUAAUACUUAUUUUGAAUACGUUUUAUUUUUUUUCUAAAUUUCUCUAUUUAUUUCUACCUGAGCAUUUCUUAAUUUUUUUAUUCAGUCCUGUUAUUCUCACUGUAGGAUUUUUAAAAGCUGGUAUAUUAUAUUAAAAUCCUUCAACUGUGAAUUCAGCAAUGUUUUGAGUUCCAGGGAUUCAUCUGGCAUUAGGCUGACCUUGUCAAGCAUAAACAUCAACAUUAAAGAAAAUAUUUAAGAAAUGAAAGGCCUGAAUCAAAAUAAGAGGUCAAAUUUUCCAGGGUGUUUUGUGUCUUGAAAAUCUUUCUGCUGUAAUUACCUAAAGACUGUGGUUAGAUAAUUAUUGAGGGACUUUUGCAAUUGUCCCUUUUCUCUAUAUAGAUCACCACAUUAAUUAAACGAGAGUCUCACUGGGAACAGGUUGCUGUUCUGCAUCUUUAAGUAUUUUUAGUACUUUAUUUUCAAAAGAGAAAAAGAACCACUAAGAAGAAGAUUGCUUCUCAGCCAAAUUUUCUGAUAUACAGAUAUUCUCAAAAGACAAGCACACACACACACGCACACACACACACACACACACACACACACACCCCCCAAGGCUCUGGAAUGUGCCUUAACAAUCUUAUUUUUGCACAUUUUAAAAGGAGGUCAUUAUGAAAUUUGCACAUAUUUUAUGACCUGUAAUGUACUUCUCUGAUCUGAUUUCACUUGAGCUAAUAAAAAAAUACAAAUCAGGUGCUUGCUGUGAUCAAGAUGCUAAAGUUAUAUUUACACUGCUUCAUAAAUGUAAGGUGUUAAAGCUUAGUGAGACAAGAAGUAAACUGAUAAUUGAUUAACCAGGGUGCUAUACAAAUCUACCUAGAGGGUGCCUUCCCAGGUUAAUGCAAUUAUGGGAGAAAGAUCCUGGCUCCUGGCUACAGAAAUGCCAACUAAAGUGUUAUCCACCCCAUCCUUCACUUUGGAGGAUGCGUUAAGAUGACACUGUGCUGUGUCAAAAUGAAAAUACAAACAAAAGCAAAUAAACCGAGUGAUAAUAAAUAAACCGAGUGACUCAGUUUCCUUAUCCAUUUUCCAGUUACCUUUUUUUUUUUAGGCCAGUCUGCAUGUCCACUAGAAGAAAAGGGACCUGGGUUCUUCAUCAGCCCAUCCUUAGAUCUUAGUGCACAUAUGCACCUAGUAAGUGCCGAGCAAAUAUUCAAUGAAUGACUGUACCUUUCCUAAGAAUUCUUCGUUGAUUAUCCUUCAACAGAGCUAACUUCUCUCCCUAUGUGCUCAGUCAAAUGCUCUCCCAUUGGACUGAGUUCAGCAUAAACUGCCAUGUUUUGAGAUGAUUGGUGUAAGCGAAUGUCCUCUCCUGAGUUGCGAGAAUCUAAGAGCAGGACAACAUCACAUGCUUCUCUACUUUCUAUAGUUCUUUUGUCCACUGUCUAACAAAUAAUGCCAAGUGAAAAAGGGAAAAAUGAAUGAAUAAAUUUUGUAAGAUGCCAAUGGAAAAAAACAGAAAAUCAAGAGUUACUAAAAAAAACCACUAACUCCAUUUAAUUGUUUUAGACUAAGAAUCCCUCAGUGAUACCUAGCCAAAAUUAGGAUUCAGAUCCAAAAUAAAAGAUACUGUUGCCCCAAGUAGAUAUCAUAAUUUGUUACAAUAAGUAAAAAUGUAUAUUAUUCAAUACUAAACUGUUAUACCACAUUUCAAGUUUUUAAAACUUUAUCUUCCUUUUAUGCAUAGAUAGUAGUAGAGCAUUAAGAACAUGCAUGGCUAUCACCUGAGGUGUUGAUUGUAAAUUCACAUUCCUAGGCUUUGUCUCUUAACUACUGAAUCGGAAUCUUUGGGAGUGAACUGACAGGAAUCUGAAUUUUAAAAAUAAGGUCUUCAGGUGAUUCUCAUGCAUCUAAAGAUAACUGCUUUAAUAUAUAACAAAGAAACCCAAAGAGGGACACUUGAGGAUUUUUUCAAUAUAUCUUCUUUUGCAGAGAUUAAUAGUGAAUGUUGUUUUAUCUGCUGUUUAGAAUUUUACAUAUGCAUUGGAUGAUACAUCUUCUUUUACUGACAAAAAGGCUUUUCUCUGGAGAAAAUAAAAAGGCAGCUUUCCCUGAGAGCACACACUUCUAGCAAAGCCCCAAUCCAUAUGACUCUAAGACAGAGUGAUUUCCACCUUCUAGUCCUUACUUUCUUGCAAAAGGGGCUUUCAAAUCUCAUUACUGAUGGUCCCAUCUUUUAUUACUGGUGUUAUCAAUGGGAUGCUUGCAGCAGCUUAAGUAUGUGGAUAAAGAAGGAAUGCACAAUAUACGGUACUGAAUAUUUUUAAAAAGUGGUCUUUCAGAAUGUCUGUAUGUGUGGGGGCCCAUGCUUAGGCAUAUGUGCAUGCCAGUGUGUUAUUUAUGUUGAAACCAAUGUUUUACAUUAAUGGCUGGAAUUCCAGAAAAAUAAGAAAAUAUUUGUAUUUUCUAAACCAUUAAAAGUUUAGUGGAACUCAUUAAUAGUCUGUAUCAUCUCUCUGUAUAUUUCAGAAGUACAUUUUAAGUGUAACAGCUAGGGGUAAACUUUCAUAACUGUAUGAUUUGAACACAAGUACAAGAAAUAUUCAAGGUUUUCUUUUCUUUUUUUUUUUUAGAUGAAGUCUCACUCUUAUCGCCGUAGCUAUAGUGCAAUGGCGCUGUCUCAGCUCACUGCAACCUCCGCCUCCUAGGUUAAAGCAAUUCUCCUGCCUCAGCCUCCGUAGUAGCUGGGAUUACAGGAUCCUGCCACCACACCCACUAAUUUUUGUAUUUUUGGUAGAGAAUGGGUUUCACCAUGUUGGACAGGCUGGUCAUGAACUCCUGACCUCAGUCGAUCCACCCGCCUUGGCCUCCCAAAGUGCUGGAUUACAGGUGUCCACCGCGCCUGGCCAAUAUUCAAGUUUACACAGGAAAAAGAAUACUUUCUCUGCAUAACCUUUACUUAUUUACUCAUAAGCCUCUAGUUCUCUCUGGAUUUGACUGUAAAUCUCAACACAUUUCCCAGAAACUAACAUCUUCUGGCUGACUUCUAUUAAAAAUUCAGACAAAGAAAAAAACUGAAUACAAUGGAGAGAGAUUAUAAUACUGCUAUUCUCCCAUUCUCUCUCUCUACAGCAUAUCACCUCCUCCAAAAUCAGUUCAUAUCUAACUCCUAGCACAUUUUUAGUUAAAAAUAUACAUGCACAAAAUAUAUGUGUAAAUACACAUGCUGAUAUCACACAUAUGUGUGUGUGUGUGUGUAUAUAUAUAUACACAAAAGCAGAUAUAUAUAUAUAUAUAUAUAUACACAAAAGCAGAUAUAUAUAUAUGCUUUCUU